rfam:Gossypium raimondii Chr02_contig_42, whole genome shotgun sequence.
UGCUAAAAAUUUGAUCUAUUUGUACGGUUAAAAAUCGGUGUGGAUGAUGGAAUAACCAAACCGUGACAUAUGACGUACCAUGUGUACUCCAUGUUGAUGCACAAAGAUUAAUUUUUAACAGAAGAAUUUGAUAAAAUUUUAAAUA